rnacentral:tRNA from 1 species
UCGAAAUCGGUAGAAAUUGUAGUAAAAAGAAAAUCCGUUGGCUUUAUUGACCGUGAGGGUUCAAG